GGAAGGGUAGCCUAGUGGACAUGGCACCUGCCCGGUAAGCAGAAGGUUGUGGGUUCGAUUCCCGCCCCUGGACACUUUUA